ACGUAGGGGGCAAGCGUUAUCCGGAUUUACUGGGUGUAAAGGGAGCGUAGACGGCUUAGCAAGUCUGAAGUGAAAGCCCGGGGCUCAACCCCGGGACUGCUUUGGAAACUGUUAAGCUGGAGUGCUGGAGAGGUAAGCGGAAUUCCUAGUGUAGCGGUGAAAUGCGUAGAUAUUAGGAGGAACACCAGUGGCGAAGGCGGCUUACUGGACAGUAACUGACGUUGAGGCUCGAAAGCGUGGGGAGCAAACAG
rnacentral:rRNA from 1 species